CAGAAAUCAGUACUGCAAUGGCUAAAUCUUGCUGAUAGAACAAGAGUGUGAUCUGGCAUGCAAAGAACUCAGAGAAUGCAGCACAAAACUUCUUUUUGAGAAAAGUACUCUACAACCACAUCUAGCCAAGCAGGCGGUAUCAAAACCAAAACACUCAGGAAUGGAGAAGCUCCAGCGAAAAGACUGGUGGAGGCUGGAAGGCUAGGCUAAGGAUUAUACACACAUCUGCUGCCAUCCAUCAUGCCUUAAUGCCAGUUAGCCAUCACUUCUGGGCUGGAGUUAAUCAAGCCGGGCUCUCCCACCAGUUACCAUUCUGGAAUCGGGGCAUGACAAGAAUUGGAAAUGACAUACACCAAACUCUGCAUAUCCUGAAGCCAGCCGCGAUCGCUCCGCCACUGUCACGUCAAGCUCCAUCCCUCCUGGCCACUCAGUGCUGAGCGCAUGACACCUGUCAGAAACUUUCAAGUGUCUGCUCGUUUCUUCAUCAGGAUUGCCUACGUAGCCUGGACAAAGAAGGGAUGACAUUUGGGAUGAGAGAGGAAUGGGCAGUGCCUUCUUCUUUCUGCCUCCUCUGCCUGUCAUCUGAUCCGUUAUGACACUCCAAACAGGUUGCAGAGGCUUGUGAAACUAUUCACUUGAAGUCUGAGUCCAUUUGGCAGGGAGAGAGGACAGGGCAGCUGUAAGUUCGCACAGUUACCCUAGGCUAGUCCAUCGCAAGCCACCUCACUUAAAGGAGGACUGGAAGCUGGUGCUGUGGUUUAAUACCAGGACUGCUGGCAGCUCCCACCUUGUGACCUGGAAUUGCAAGGUGAUCGUGAAGAGAAGCUUUGAAAUAUCAUCAGACAUGCUCUGAGGGUAUGCUUGCUGCUGCUUAAGUGCUUUGGAGAAGGGGCAUCUAUUAAAUGUGUUCAGUAUUCUCCUUUCCCCUUCAAUCACAUCUUCUCUCACUGUUUUCUUUUUCUCUCUCCUUGAGGAAAUAGUCCAAAAGUAACAUGUUUCUAUAAUAAUGAACUGAAGUUUACUCAUGUUAAUUUACUUAAUAACCUUGAACACUUCUAAUGUGCCUGAUGCUAGGCUAAGUUCUGAAAACAUAGAGCUCAAAAAUACUGUUUAUAUGAUCAAUGAAUCAGUUUAGUAGGAACAACAGCCAUUAGACAAAAAAUUAUUACUAUUGUUAUUGAGAUAUUUGCAAGAUGCUAUAAUUGGUAUUCCUGAAGAAGUUUAUUAGAAUCAGUGGAAGAUAAAUAAUAAUCAUAUGUAUAAGAAAACUUUCCCAAGCUGAAUAGGAGUGUGCCUAUAAAGGACUCACCACAUAUCACGUAAAUUCAAGAAAAGAGGGCAACAUUUAAAUAUCCUGAAGAAAUUUUAUUUUUAGCAAUUGUCACAGUCUGAAUGAAGAUUCCUAGCAGAAGCAAAUAGUGAUCAUUUCUGGAAGGAAGCUUUCUCUCACAAAGGUACUUAUUACCGUUUUAAUGAUUUUGCCUGUAUAACUAUAGUUCAUAUAGAACAAAGUAAAGCCAGUCUUAAAAUGCUUUAUAUUUUCUCUGGAGUUUUUAGUUGCCUUUAUUUUAUUAUCAAAGGUUUUAUUUUCACCUUCUAUAGGCCUUUUGUACAGAUAA